GGCGAGAGACGAUAGCGAACAAGUACCGUGAGGGAAAGAUGAAAAGAACUUUGAAAAGAGAGUUAAACAGUACGUGAAAUUGUUGAAAGGGAAACGAUUGAAGUCAGUCAUACCAACGGGAAAUCAACCUUUUGAGUUUGGUCUCGUGGGUUUUGAAGAGUUUAAAAGCCUUCGGAUUUUCGAGAUUGGGUUCUUCUGGUGUACUUUCUCGUACGGUUAGUCAACAUCGGUUUUGAAUGUCNUAAAAUGG
rnacentral:rRNA from 1 species